GCCCUCGUAGUUCAAUGGAUAGAACACCAGCCUUCUAAGCUGGUUAUGUAGGUUCGAUUCCUACCGAGGGUACCA
rnacentral:tRNA from 1 species